ACCUGUCUGGGGACACACCCUGAAAGCCUCACCCUGGCUCGUGCACGGCUGCCUCUGUGCUUGAAUGAGGCUAAGCUAUUUGCCCCAAGUCCCACAGCCAGCAGGUCAUAAAGCAGGGAUCAAACCCAACUUUGUUCAGUUCUACAGCUGGAGCUUCUAGGCCUACAGAGGGGGAAGCAGGGUCAGUCCCACGAAGGCAAAUGGCCUUGAGAACACAGAGGCAAGAGGGAAGCAGGCACAUCAGGGACUUUGAGCAGCUCAUCUGCCUUGAACGAAAGUGGGUCUCUAUCACGAUACUCUCUUCUGGAUAAUGCAUUACCGAGCUCCCUUCUCCCAGUCUCAGACUAGACAGGCAACCUUGAUUCCUCCUCCCACGGUCAAGAAAAUGGAGUGGCUCUGAAGAGGCUGUGGGACUCUCAAGUCCCUCGCUGCAGCACCGGCCAGCACAAGCCUGAGCACGCAGGAGGUGGUCAGUGAAAUAAGACCUCUUGGAAACAGGGAGAUCUGAUGGGACAUUCUGGGUAAGGAAACCCAGAAACCAGCAAAGGCGUGGAGGUGGGGAAGAGCUGGGAGGGACUGUGCUUGGAGGAGCAGGAAGAUGGAGGGGAAGGUCUCAGGGAUGGCAGCGUCUGCUCAGGGAUGGGAAGCUCACUACUCAGAAGCAGCAGGUUCGGUGGCUCAACGACUCUGACUGUCCUAGUUCUUUCCCUAGGUGGCCACGCUCUGCACUUCAAGUCAUAAGAAAGCCACGGGGAUCAGGCUCCACUGUCAGCGAGGCCUAGACUGGAUGUGGCAUAAUUAUGAAGGAAGACCAGUAAUCUGGGGGGCCUUCAGAACAAAUACCCAC